CUUUGUCUAUUGAAACUACUUAAAGAUAAAGUAUUAAUAUUCCGAGAUACUAUUCAUUCAGUCUACUAAUAGCAUCACUAUAAAUCAGGUAAACUAAAGAUGUGUGAAAAUUGAAUACUGUAUAUAUCACAUAAUCAGUGGCGUAUCGAGGGUGCCGGGCGAGGGGCAGCAAUGACAAAACAAUCAUAAUCAGCAACCACAGAGGGAAUUGCGAUCAACACUCAUUGAGUGCUUAAUUAUUAUUAUAAAAAAAAC